GGCUCGGGCUCAGCGGUAGAGUGCUUGCCUAGCAUGCAUGAGGCACUGGGUUCAAUCCUCAGCACCA
rnacentral:tRNA from 1 species